AGACAGCUAGGGAGUGGAAGAGGUGGAUGGUACUCGAUGGGAAGGGGUAAAAUCCUUUGAUCCAUUGAAGACCACCUGUGGCGAAGGCGGUCCACCAGAACAUGUCCGACGGUGAGGGAUGAAAGCUGGGGGAGCAAACCGGAUUAGAUACCCGGGUAGUCCCAGCCGCAAACGAUGCAAACUCAGUGUUGCAUUGGCAUGUAGCCAAUGCAGUGCCGCAGGGAAGCCGUUAAGUUUGCCGCCUGGGAAGUACGUACGCAAGUAUGAAACUUAAAGGAAUUGGCGGGGGAGCACCACAAGGGGUGAAGCCUGCGGUUCAAUUGGAGUCAACGCCAGAAAUCUUACCCGAAGAGACAGCAGAAUGAAGGUCAAGCUGGAGACUUUACCAGACAAGCUGAGAAGUGGUGCAUGGCCGUCGCCAGCUCGUGCCGUGAGAUGUCCUGUUAAGUCAGGUAACGAGCGAGAUCCCUGCCUCUAGUUGCCACCAUUACUCUCAGGAGUAGUGGGGCGAAUUAGCGGGACCGCCGCAGUUAAUGCGGAGGAAGGAAGGGGCCACGGCAGGUCAGUAUGCCCCGAAAAUCUCUAGAGGAUCAGC
rnacentral:rRNA from 1 species